GACGAACGUGGGCGGCGUGCUUAACACAUGCAAGUCGAACGGAAAGGCCCUGCUUUUGUGGGGUGCUCGAGUGGCGAACGGGUGAGUAACACGUGAGUAACCUGCCCUUGACUUUGGGAUAACUUCAGGAAACUGGGGCUAAUACCGGAUAGGAGCUCCUGCUGCAUGGUGGGGGUUGGAAAGUUUCGGCGGUUGGGGAUGGACUCGCGGCUUAUCAGCUUGUUGGUGGGGUAGUGGCUUACCAAGGCUUUGACGGGUAGCCGGCCUGAGAGGGUGACCGGCCACAUUGGGACUGAGAUACGGCCCAGACUCCUACGGGAGGCAGCAGUGGGGAAUAUUGCACAAUGGGCGGAAGCCUGAUGCAGCAACGCCGCGCGCGGGAUGACGGCCUUCGGGUUGUAAACCGCUUUCGCCUGUGACGAAGCGUGAGUGACGGUAAUGGGUAAAGAAGCACCGGCUAACUACGUGCCAGCAGCCGCGGUGAUACGUAGGGUGCGAGCGUUGUCCGGAUUUAUUGGGCGUAAAGGGCUCGUAGGUGGUUGAUCGCGUCGGAAGUGUAAUCUUGGGGCUUAACCCUGAGCGUGCUUUCGAUACGGGUUGACUUGAGGAAGGUAGGGGAGAAUGGAAUUCCUGGUGGAGCGGUGGAAUGCGCGGAUAUCAGGAGGAACACCAGUGGCGAAGGCGGUUCUCUGGGCCUUUCCUGACGCUGAGGAGCGAAAGCGUGGGGAGCGAACAGGCUUAGAUACCCUGGUAGUCCACGCUGUAAACGGUGGGUACUAGGUGUGGGGUCCAUUCCACGGGUUCCGUGCCGUAGCUAACGCUUUAAGUACCCCGCCUGGGGAGUACGGCCGCAAGGCUAAAACUCAAAGGAAUUGACGGGGCCCCGCACAAGCGGCGGAGCAUGCGGAUUAAUUCGAUGCAACGCGUAGAACCUUACCUGGGUUUGACAUGGAUCGGGAGUGCUCAGAGAUGGGUGUGCCUCUUUUGGGGUCGGUUCACAGGUGGUGCAUGGCUGUCAUCAGCUCGUGUCGUGAGAUGUUGGGUUAAGUCCCGCAACGAGCGCAACCCUGGUUCACUGUUGCCAGCACGUUAUGGUGGGGACUCAGUGGAGACCGCCGGGGUCAACUCGGAGGAAGGUGGGGAUGACGUCAAGUCAUCAUGCCCCUUAUGUCCAGGGCUUCACGCAUGCUACAAUGGCUGGUACAGAGAGUGGCGAGCCUGUGAGGGUGAGCGAAUCUCGGAAAGCCGGUCUCAGUUCGGAUUGGGGUCUGCAACUCGACCUCAUGAAGUCGGAGUCGCUAGUAAUCGCAGAUCAGCAACGCUGCGGUGAAUACGUUCCCGGGGCU
rnacentral:rRNA from 1 species